CACACCUUUACUUAGUUCUUAGCAGCUUUUCACCAUGAUGUCUUUAGUCACUGAACGGGGUGUGAAGGUUGUCAGGCUUGUAGCUGGCCGUCCCUCGCUUCUGAAAAGGACCAAUGACAUCAUUGGGUGAAGAAUUGUCUCCAAGAGGCAGAGAUGUACAAUGCCAUCUUUCCACAUCAUCAGAGUCCAGCUACAGUAGGACAAGUCAGGACCAGAAGGCAGUGGAUGACUUCAAGGUCUUCUUCAAGAUCUGCCUGCUGGCAUCUUCAAGAUCAGAUUGUUAGAUCUUCAGGUUCUGUCUACUGGUCUCUUCAAGGUCUAACUGUUGCUAUCUUCAAGGUCUGAUCACUGGCAUCUUCAAGGUCUGACUAUUGGAUCUUCAAUGUCUGCCCACUGGUGUCUUCAAGGUCUGACUGUUGGAUCUUCAAUGUCUGCCCACUGGUGUCUUCAAGGUCUGACUGUUGGAUCUUCAAUGUCUGCCCACUGGUAUCUUCAAGGUCCAACUGUUGCUAUCUUCAAGGUCUGAUCACUGGCAUCUUCAAGGUCUGACUGUUGGAUCUUCAGGUUCUGUCUACUGGUAUCUUCAAGGUCCAACUGUUGCUAUCUUCAAUGUCUGCCCACUGGUGUCUUCAAGGUCUGACUGUUGGAUCUUCAAUGUCUGCCCACUGGUAUCUUCAAGGUCCAACUGUUGCUAUCUUCAAGGUCUGAUCACUGGCAUCUUCAAGAUCUGACUGUUGGAUCUUCAAUGUCUGCCCACUGGUGUCUUCAAGGUCUGACUGUUGGAUCUUCAAUGUCUGCCCACUGGUAUCUUCAAGGUCCAACUGUUGCUAUCUUCAAGGUCUGAUCACUGGCAUCUUCAAGAUCUGACUGUUGGAUCUUCAAUGUCUGCCCACUGGUGUCUUCAAGGUCUGACUGUUGGAUCUUCAAUGUCUGCCCACUGGCAUUUUCAAGGUCUGACUAUUGGCACCUUCAAGGUCUGACUGUUGGAUCUUCAAUGUCUGCCCACUGGUGUCUUCAAGGUCUGACUGUUGGAUCUUCAAUGUCUGCCCACUGGCAUUUUCAAGGUCUGACUAUUGGCACCUUCAAGAUCUGACUGUUGGAUCUUCAAUGUCUGCCCACUGGCAUCUUCAAGGUCUGACAGUUGGCAUCUUCAAGGUCUGCCCAAGCUCUAAGUGCCCACAUAUAACCACCUCCAUGGGGCAUUAGAACAAAGUGUUCUUCGAACUGAUGCUGAGUGAAAUGAGCAGGACCAGG
rnacentral:lncRNA from 1 species